ACAACAAUGGAGUCUGAGGUGAGUUUUGAGACCUCCUUCUUUCGCCUUGUGUGCCCUCCGAGAUUUUGCCCUCUGUGAAGUACACUGUGGAGCCAGUGGGGUUGGGUGGACUUACUUUGCUCAAGGACCGCGUUAGUACUCGAGG